rnacentral:rRNA from 1 species
UACGGGAGGCAGCAGUGGGGAAUAUUGCACAAUGGGCGAAAGCCUGAUGCAGCGACGCCGCGUGAGGGAUGACGGCCUUCGGGUUGUAAACCUCUUUCAGCAGGGAAGAAGCGAAAGUGACGGUACCUGCAGAAGAAGCGCCGGCUAACUACGUGCCAGCAGCCGCGGUAAUACGUAGGGCGCGAGCGUUGUCCGGAAUUAUUGGGCGUAAAGAGCUCGUAGGCGGCUUGUCACGUCGGUUGUGAAAGCCCGGGGCUUAACCCCGGGUCUGCAGUCGAUACGGGCAGGCUAGAGUUCGGUAGGGGAGAUCGGAAUUCCUGGUGUAGCGGUGAAAUGCGCAGAUAUCAGGAGGAACACCGGUGGCGAAGGCGGAUCUCUGGGCCGAUACUGACGCUGAGGAGCGAAAGCGUGGGGAGCGAACAGGAUUAGAUACCCUGGUAGUCCACGCCGUAAACGGUGGGCACUAGGUGUGGGCGACAUUCCACGUCGUCCGUGCCGCAGCUAACGCAUUAAGUGCCCCGCCUGGGGAGUACGGCCGCAAGGCUAAAACUCAAAGGAAUUGACGGA